GGGGAUUUAGCUCAGUGGCAUAAGCACCUGCCUUGUAAGCAGGUUCAAUCCCUG
rnacentral:tRNA from 1 species